rnacentral:rRNA from 1 species
AGAGUUCCUUUCUGGCUCAGGACGAACGCUGGCGGCGUGCCUAAUACAUGCAAGUCGAGCGAGCUUGCCUAGAUGAUUUUAGUGCUUGCACUAAAUGAAACUAGAUACAAGCGAGCGGCGGACGGGUGAGUAACACGUGGGUAACCUGCCCAAGAGACUGGGAUAACACCUGGAAACAGAUGCUAAUACCGGAUAACAACACUAGACGCAUGUCUAGAGUUUGAAAGAUGGUUCUGCUAUCACUCUUGGAUGGACCUGCGGUGCAUUAGCUAGUUGGUAAGGUAACGGCUUACCAAGGCAAUGAUGCAUAGCCGAGUUGAGAGACUGAUCGGCCACAUUGGGACUGAGACGCGGGCCAAACUCCUACUGGAUGCAGCAGGAUGGAAUCUUCCACAAUGGAUGAAAGUCUGAUGGAGCAACGCCCGCGUGAGUGAAGAAGGGUUUCGGCUCGUAAAGCUCUGUUGGUAGUGAAGAAAGAUAGAGGUAGUAACUGGCCUUUAUUUGACGGUAAUUACUUAGAAAGUCACGGCUAACUACGUGCCAGCAGCCGCGGUAAUACGUAGGUGGCAAGCGUUGUCCGGAUUUAUUGGGCGUAAAGCGAGUGCAGGCGGUUCAAUAAGUCUGAUGUGAAAGCCUUCGGCUCAACCGGAGAAUUGCAUCAGAAACUGUUGAACUUGAGUGCAGAAGAGGAGAGUGGAACUCCAUGUGUAGCGGUGGAAUGCGUAGAUAUAUGGAAGAACACCAGUGGCGAAGGCGGCUCUCUGGUCUGCAACUGACGCUGAGGCUCAAAGCAUGGGUAGCGAACAGGAUUAGAUACCCUGGUAGUCCAUGCCGUAAACGAUGAG